rnacentral:misc_RNA from 1 species
GACGGAGGGUGCUAGCGUUGUUCGGAAUCACUGGGCGUAAAGGGCGCGUAGGCGGCCGAGGGAGUCGGCUGUGAAAGCCCGGGGCUCAACCCCGGAGGUGCAGCCGAUACUCCUUGGCUGGAGGCCGGAAGAGGAGGGUGGAAUACCCAGUGUAGAGGUGAAAUUCGUAGAUAUUGGGUGGAACACCGGUGGCGAAAGCGGCUCUCUGGUCCGGACCUGACGCUGAGGCGCGAAAGCGUGGGGAGCAAACAGG